GCCAGUUGCUGAUCUUCUGCUGUGUGGAGUUUGCAGGAAUAUAGUUGUGCAGGUCAACAAGUUUUGGGAAGAAGUAUUUGACAACCUCUGCAGCCAUCACUACAGAGAUUAGAGAGGAGCAGAGUCAGACCAAGUCGCCUUUUUUUGAUGCAGCACAUCAAACUCACAAUAACCAGGACCAUCAGCAGGAGUAAGCCAACCACCAGUGACACAAUAAACACCAUCAGACCUGCCUCUGCACAAACAAACAAUCACAUACACACACAUUGUGACAAUAUGCCUUCAUAUUGCUCGAGGAUGACUGCGUCACUCGCUCAUGAUGCAAAGCGCACUGUAACAUCAUUACUGCAUUUGUACCGACUGACCGGGGAAUUCAAUUAAAUCAGUGUUCAUCAGAACAGAGCACAAUUGUUUGUGAGUCCAUGAGAAAAUCUAUUUCAAGUAUUAAAUCUUGGUGGAAAAAAACGGAGCAGAAGAGGAAACAGACACAAACAGCCAUGUGUGAAGCAUGGCCAUUAAAAGGUCAAGCAU